rnacentral:rRNA from 1 species
GAUGAACGCUGGUGGCGUGCCUAAUACAUGCAAGUCGAGCGAAUGGAUUAAGAGCUUGCUCUUAUGAAGUUAGCGGCGGACGGGUGAGUAACACGUGGGUAACCUGCCCAUAAGACUGGGAUAACUCCGGGAAACCGGGGCUAAUACCGGAUAAUAUUUUGAACUGCAUGGUUCAAAAUUGAAAGGCGGCUUCGGCUGUCACUUAUGGAUGGACCCGCGUCGCACUAGCUAGUUGGUGAGGUAACGGCUCACCUAGGCAACGAUGCGUAGCCGACCUGAGAGGGUGAUCGACCACACUGGGACUGAGACACGGCCCAGACUCCUACGGGAGGCAGCAGUAGGGAAUCUUCCGCAAUGGACGAAAGUCUGACGGAGCAACGCCGCGUGAGUGAUGAAGGCUUUCGGGUCGUAAAACUCUGUUGUUAGGGAAGAACAAGUGCUAGUUGAAUAAGCUGGCACCUUGACGGUACCUAACCAGAAAGCCACGGCUAACUACGUGCCAGCCGCCGCCGUAA